rnacentral:rRNA from 1 species
GACGAACGCUGGCGGCGUGCUUAACACAUGCAAGUCGAGCGGUAAGGCCCUUCGGGUACACGAGCGGCGAACGGGUGAGUAACACGUGGGUGACCUGCCCUCCACUCUGGGAUAAGCCCGGGAAACUGGGUCUAAUACCGGAUAUGACCUCUGGAUGCAUGUCUGGUGGUGGAAAGCCUGGGUUGUAUGACUCUGGCGGUGGGGGAUGGGCCCGCGGUCUAUCAGCUUGUUGGUGGGGGAUGGCCUACCAAGGCGACGACGGAUAGCCGGCCUGAGAGGGUGGAUCGGCCACACUGGGACUGAGACACGGCCCAGACUCCUACGGGAGGCAGCAGUGGGGAAUCUUGCGCAAUGGGCGGAAGCCUGACGNAGCAACGCCGCGUGGGGA